GACGAACGCUGGCGGCGUGCUUAACACAUGCAAGUCGAACGGUAAGGCCCUUCGGGGUACACGAGUGGCGAACGGGUGAGUAACACGUGGGUGAUCUGCCCUGCACUUCGGGAUAAGCCUGGAAACUGGGUCUAAUACCGGAUAGGACCACUGCCUGCAUGGGUGGUGGUGGAAAGCUUUUGCGGUGUGGGAUGGGCCCGCGGCCUAUCAGCUUGUUGGUGGGGUGAUGGCCUACCAAGGCGACGACGGGUAGCCGGCCUGAGAGGGUGACCGGCCACACUGGGACUGAGCUACGGCCCAGACUCCUGCGGGAGGCAGCAGUGGGGAAUAUUGCACAAUGGGCGCAAGCCUGAUGCAGCGACGCCGCGUGAGGGAUGACGGCCUUCGGGUUGUAAACCUCUUUCAGCACCGACGAAGCGCAAGUGACGGUAGGUGCAGAAGAAGGACCGGCCAACUACGUGCCAGCCGCCGCGGUAA
rnacentral:rRNA from 1 species